rnacentral:lncRNA from 1 species
UUUUUUUUUUUUUUGUCUUUUUGCCUUUUCUAGGGCCACUCCCGCGGCAUAUGGAGGUUCCCAGGCUAGGGGUCGAAUCAGAGCUGUAGCAACACAGGAUUCGAGCCGUGUCUGCGACCUACACCACAGCUCACGGCAAUGCCGGAUCCUUAACCCACUGAGCGAGGCCAGGGAUUGAACCCUCAACCUCAUGGUUCCUAGUCGGAUUCGCUAACCGCUGAGCCUCGACGGGAACUCCUCCUGUCAGUCUUUCUUUACAGCUUCCGUUUUUUGUUGUUUGUUUUUUUUUUGGCCACACCCAUGGCAUGUGGAAGUUCCCAGCCAGGGGUACAAUUGAAGCUGCAGCUGCAGACCUGUGCUGCACCUACAGAGACACUGGACCAGGCCCUCAUCUCUAGCUUGCAACAAUGCCAGAUACUUUUUUUUUUUUUUUAAUCUUUUUGGCUGCACUGCAGCAUAUGGAGCUCUGAAGCCAGGGAUCAGAUCUGAGCCACAGCCACGAACUAAGCCACAGCUGUGCCAAUGCAGGAUCCCUAACCUACUCUGCUGGGCUGAGGAUUGAACUUGGGUCCCAGUGCUCCCAAGACACUGCUGAUCCCGUUGUGCCACAGAGGGAGCUCCAACACCAGAUCCUUAACCCACUGAAUGAAGCUGGGAAUCCAACCCACAUUCUCAAAGCGACAGCAUUGAUUCUUAACUGCUGAGCCACAAUGGAAACUCCCUGAAAAUGAUGUUUUAACACUGACCUUCCCCAGCCCAAACUCUGUAUGUCAUGGCUUUGUUUUACUUUCUUCAGGGCUGGAUCAUCUUCUGAGAUGACUCUGUUCAUUUGUUUCUUUGAUUUUGGUGGGUCUCGCCCUGCCCUGGUCACUGCAGGGGGGAGGCCCUCCAAAUAAAAGUGAUGGACAGAAUGAAGUAGGUGCGUAGCAGCUGUCUACCAUCUCAUGGUGCUUCCUCGAGCCUCCUCUCCUGCAGGGCUGGUCUGUCUUGUCUGCGUUCACCUGUGAUAUAUUCCCAGUCACCCUCCCCUCCAGGUCAGACAAGGACAGGCGAAGUGCUGUGCUUGAAGUUUCAGCGGGUAAAUGAAUGACAUUUUUCCGGCUUGCGUCAGGCUUUGGGCAAUUCCCCACCGAGCAGCCAGACAAGCCGCCUAGUGAUACUGG